rnacentral:rRNA from 1 species
UGGGGAAUAUUGGACAAUGGGCGAAAGCCUGAUCCAGCCAUGCCGCGUGUGUGAAGAAGGUCUUCGGAUUGUAAAGCACUUUAAGUUGGGAGGAAGGGCAGUAAAUUAAUACUUUGCUGUUUUGACGUUACCGACAGAAUAAGCACCGGCUAACUCUGUGCCAGCAGCCGCGGUAAUACAGAGGGUGCAAGCGUUAAUCGGAAUUACUGGGCGUAAAGCGCGCGUAGGUGGUUAGUUAAGUUGGAUGUGAAAUCCCCGGGCUCAACCUGGGAACUGCAUUCAAAACUGACUGACUAGAGUAUGGUAGAGGGUGGUGGAAUUUCCUGUGUAGCGGUGAAAUGCGUAGAUAUAGGAAGGAACACCAGUGGCGAAGGCGACCACCUGGACUGAUACUGACACUGAGGUGCGAAAGCGUGGGGAGCAAACAGGAUUAGAUACCCAAGUAGUCCCUGAGCGGGCUGGCAAGGCGCAU